GAUGAACGCUAGCGGUAGGCUUAACACAUGCAAGUCGAGGGGUAACGUGUUGGAAGCUUGCUUCCGAUGACGGCGACCGGCGGAUGGGUGCGUAACGCGUCUGCAUCUUGCCUCACAGUGGAGAAUACCCCGGAGAACUCAGGACAAUUACUCCAUACACCCUUAAGUAAGCCCGUACGUGAGAGGAAAGAUUUAUCGCUGUAAGAUCGGCUUGCGUCCUAUUAGGUGGGUGGUGAAGUAACGGCCCACCAAGACGACGAUAGGUAGGGGUGCUGGGAGGGAGGUCCCCCACAGUGGGACGGAGACACCGCCCUAACACCGACGGGAGGCGGCGGGGAGGAUGAAUAGUCGAUGGAAGAAACUCUGAACCAUCCAAGUCGCGUGAAGGAAGAAUGUCCGUAGGAAUGUAAUCUUCUUUAGCGAGCGAGUAAGCACUUCCACAUGAUGGGGGUUUGAAGGUAGCUCGAGAAUAAGUAUCGGCUAACUCCGUG
rnacentral:rRNA from 1 species